UGGGGACGCACUGUUUCAGUUGAGCUCCUGUUUGGUUUUGUGUCUCCGCGGUGUUUCCAAGAGUCUCGGCGUUUCUACCUCUUAGCACCCUUUCUUGCCACCCUUUGUCCUGUGGAAGCCCAGAGACAUCAGCGGUUGCAACUGUGCUACUCGCUGCUCGGCAUGGAAGGGUCAGGUACCGCAGUUCAGCGCUCUUGGCCCCGCAGGUCCUCGGGCAUCCCUGUGCCCCGUCCUGUACAUUGUUAUGCUCCGACUUCCUAGGGUCGAAGUUAUUGCCUGCUGGGUUUUAGAAGCUAUUGCUUUACGUCUGAGAAAAAAAUCCCAGAAAGGACAAAAAAUAAUAUCCAAGGAUAUUUUGGCACUAAUGGCGCAAUCUGUAGCAAGAAAGUUGAGCAGUCUGAACUGUUGAGACUUCCAAGGAGACUUCAGAGAACCAAAACAGUGUAAAGGAAAACAGGAAAAAAGACUUGUUAGACAUUAUUAAGGGCACGAAAGUUGAAUCGAGCACAGUAAAUGUACAAACAACAAAGCCACCCAGCAGAAGUCCACUUAAAAGCGACGACUGGCGGGCCUCAAAGAGCUGCAGAACAUGCUCCAAAGAAGAGUUUCAGUAACAAAAUAUCAGAUACGAAAAUUGCCAGAUGUGCUACAGCUAAGGUUAGUAUAAGUCAAGAGCAUCAUAUUCAGUUUGACCAAGUCUUUGACAAUUAUCCUGACCAGGAGAAGACCGCUGAUCUUAGAAACAGGAAAAUACAUUCAUGGGGAAGAGACAUAAUAGUUUUGACAUUACGGCAGUUACAGCACCUGAACAUGUUUGUUAAGAAUAACUGCUUCUCAGGUGGAGAAAUAAUUUCAUCUCUUCAAGAUGUCCUUAGGUUUUGA
rnacentral:lncRNA from 1 species